CUUGGUCAUUUAGAGGAAGUAAAAGUCGUAACAAGGUUUCCGUAGGUGAACCUGCGGAAGGAUCAUUAUUGAAUGAACUUAGAGUCGGUUGUCGCUGGCUGUCUUUGGCAGCAUGUGCACGCCUUCUCUAUUCAUCCACACACCCCUGUGCACUUGUGAGACUGGAGGCCGUAAAAAGCCUUCAGUCUGCUAAAUUCAUAUACAAACUCAUUUAAUUGAACUGAAUGUACUUGAUGUAACGCAUCAUUAAACUAAGUUUCAACAACGGAUCUCUUGGCUCUCGCAUCGAUGAAGAACGCAGCGAAAUGCGAUAAGUAAUGUGAAUUGCAGAAUUCAGUGAAUCAUCGAAUCUUUGAACGCACAUUGCGCCCGCUAGUAUUCUGGCGGGCAUGCCUGUCCGAGCGUCAUUUCAACCCAUCAAGCUUAGCGCUUGUGUUGGAGCCCUGCGGCCGCCGCAGCCUCCUAAAAUCAGUGGCGGGCUCGCUAUCACGCUGAGUGCAGUAGUAUUCUUCUCACUCCUGUGGUGUAGCGGGUGACCAGCCGUAAAACCCACCCAUAUCUAAAGGUUGACCUCGGAUCAGGUAGGAAUACCCGCUGAACUUAAGCAUAUCAAUAAGCGGAGGA
rnacentral:rRNA from 1 species